UUUAUGAUUUGCUCUAUCAACACAACGACCUAAAACAACUCGGAACAACUCCAAACAUCCGCUCAACAAAUAACUCAGCAAUCAAUCUUACAAGAAAACCCAAAACAAAAAAAACUGAAAAAAACUAUGAAUCAAAUGGAAAUGAAAUAAUUGAGACGACAAAAUAACAAAACAUAUUAUCAAUCCACCUCCUCUACAAUUAAUAAAAAAAUGACCUUCACUGCCAUUAUAAAAAAAUAAACGACCUCUCUU
rnacentral:lncRNA from 1 species